AUGGUAGCAUCCAUAUGGAGUUACACAUUCUAGUCUAUUGACGGCUAAAACUGCAUAGCCUUUGGAGCUCUGCUUGGAUUCAAACGAACCGGGACGGAGGG
rfam:Sporomusa sphaeroides DSM 2875 SPSPH_contig000003, whole genome shotgun sequence.